rnacentral:tRNA from 1 species
GCGCCCGUGAUGAAAUGGAUAUCAUGGAAGCCUACGGAGCUUCUCGUAGGGGUUCGAGUCCCUUCGGGCGCA